rnacentral:rRNA from 1 species
UACGUAGGGUGCGAGCGUUAAUCGGAAUUACUGGGCGUAAAGGGUGCGCAGGCGGCCUUGUAAGUCAGAUGUGAAAGCCCCGGGCUUAACCUGGGAAUUGCGUUUGAAACUACAAAGCUAGAGUGCAGCAGAGGGGAGUGGAAUUCCAUGUGUAGCAGUGAAAUGCGUAGAGAUGUGGAAGAACACCGAUGGCGAAGGCAGCUCCCUGGGUUGACACUGACGCUCAUGCACGAAAGCGUGGGGAGCAAACAGGAUUAGAUAUCCCUGGUAGUCCACGCCCUAAACUAUGUCAAUCUAGUUGUCGGAUCUAAUUAAGGAUUUGGUAACGUAGCUAAUCGCGUGAAGUUGACCGCCUGGGGAGUACGAUCGCAAGAUAAAACUCAAAG